UACGGGGGGGGUAAGCGUUGUCCGGAUUUACUGGGCGUAAAGAGCGCGCAGGCGGUCGAAUAAGUCGAAUGUGAAAGCCCCCGGCUUAACUGGGGAGGGUCAUUCGAUACUGCUCGACUUGAAGGCAGGAGAGGGAAGUGGAAUUCCCGGUGUAGUGGUGAAAUGCGUAGAUAUCAGGAGGAACACCGGUGGCGAAGGCGGGGUCUCUGGGCCGUAACUGACGCUGAGGAGCGAAAGCAUGGGGAGCGAACAGG
rnacentral:rRNA from 1 species